CAUGAUCUCAGCUCACUGCAACCUUUGCCUCUGGGGUUCAAAGGAUUCUCCCGCCUCAGCCUCCCCAGUAGCUGGGAUUACAGGUGCACACCACCACGCCCAGCUAAUUUUGUAUUUUUAGUAGAGAUGUGGUUUCACCAUGUUGGCCAGGCUGGUCUCAAAAUCUUGACCUUGUGAUCCACCCGCCUCAGCCUCCCAGAGUGCUGGGAUUACAGGGGUGAGUUAGUACACCUGGCCUUGUUGUUGUUUUUGUUGUUGAAGAAACUGUGGUUUGUGUUGUAGUUUCAUACCAUAGGAAUUUUGCUGAUUAUAUUCCACAUUCCUCGCCUUUCAUAUUUCCUGUGACUCAAGCGUUCUUAACCUCAACACUAUUGAUAUUUUUGGUAAGGUCAUUUUUUCCCUAAUUGAAUAUUCUUUUCUAAUUAUUUUUAUAGAUUCAGGGAGUACAAGUGCAGUUCUGUUACGUGGAUAUAUUAUGCAGCAGUGAAGUCUGAGCUUUUAGUGCACCCAUCACCCAAAUAGUGAACUUUGUACCCAAUAGGUGAUUUUUCAACCUUCAAGGUAAUUUUUUUAUUAUUGGAGUUGUCCUGAGUAUUGGAGGAUGUUUAGCAGUAUCUCUAGCUAGAUCCCAGCAGCACACACAUCCCAAGUUGUAACAGUCAACUAUGUCUCCUGACAUUGCCAAAUAUCAUCUUGAUGGCAAAAUGCCCACCCUACUAAGUUAAGAACCAGUACUGUAAAUUAUAACCUUAAUAAGAUUAAGAUUUUAAAAAAAAAAUAUUUUAUAGACCGUAUGGUGUUCUACUAUAAUGAGGCUGACAAUGCACAGCUGUUUCUCUUUUUUAGAAUGUCAGAGACUACUGCUUUUCAAUACACAAACCCAAGAGUUAAUUAGGAGAUUAAAAAUGGUGGCAUUCCAAUUUGAUCAGUUCUUCGUUUAUUAACUGAAUACUUCCAUAAAGAGGAAUUGUUGUCACAUAUAUUUAAGUUAUCCAAAAUCCAUGAUUCUUUCCCUUUAUUUAUGAAUUUCCAAAAUUGGUUUUUCUUCGUUUAGUAUUAUAAUAAAUAUAUGGUUCUAUGCAUAUUUGAUGUUUCAAAUCUGUAAGGAUUAUUAUCCUUACUGAUAUUAAAAUUAUACCCUCUGUUUCUUGUGAGAGCUUCUAUAAGUUGGCUCCAAAGUUCUUUUACCAAACCUGUCAUCCUGAAUGUUUGCUGCUUCUGCUCAGUUAUUUCCCUAAGAGGUCCCAAUUCCUUUUUAAUGUGGAAUUUUACAAGAUCAUAUUCUAUAAGUGAGGAUGAUCAUUGUUAUUAGGUCGUUAUUUGUAGGACUUUUCAAUGCAGAGACCUAGGAAAUUUUUUUGAGAUAAGAUAUGCCAGUACUUCAUAUUUAUUUAUUUGUCAGUUAAAAAAAAAAACCUCAGCUCUUCAUCUCCUUCUCCAUCAUGAUAGCUGUCAACACACAAUGUUUGAACUGUUAAAGUAGCAUCUUAAAUGGUCUACCUUUCUCUUGCCUCUGCUUAACAUUCCAAAUUGAUUCCUAAAAUCCUCUUCAUUGUUCCACCUAAGUUCAAAUUGGUCAACCUACCAUGUAAAAUCCUCAUAAAGCUGGUUACUUACAUAUACUAUCUCUUUUCCAACUACCUUAACUAGUAGCCGCCCUUCCAGUCAAGUUUUCUCUUUAUUAUGCCUCAAAUACACCUCUAAACUUGUAUCAUCAUAUUGUUGUUCACGUUUCCCUCCAAAAUUCUGUCUAACACUGUCUUGAGGCUGCAGGUAGUUUUCUAUGCUUUUGUGCAUAACUCACAUGAAAACCAAUACAUAUGAACCGAGAACCGUGUUGCAAUCUAAAACCCACUAGAAAUAACAUGACUCAUAUUUUUAAAAAUCAUGGUAUUUUAGAAUUUGAAGAGAUCUAAGCAGUUAUCUAGUCUAAUCCUAUUAUUUUCCAAGUGAGGAUAUUAAAGUUAAUAGAAGUUCAGCACUUUGAUAAAGGUCAUACAGUUGGCAGUGUUAGAGAUGGAAUCAACAUCUCCUAAUCCAAGUAUUCUUCUCCUUUUGCUGCACAAGGCUGAUAUGAAAAGCUCUGUUACAGUGUCAGAUAUUUCCAGAGUUGUCUGCGGGAGAAAAUGGAAGGGGGAUUGCUAAGGGUUUUAGCAAGUAUUAUUCAGGGUAAUACUGAGUAUCUCAGCUUCUAGAGUGUACACAGAAAUCUGGUGAAAGAAAAAUGCCAGUUGAAUGUAAGCUUUCUCUGAAAGUGUGAGAGAAAGUGAGAAGUAGCAGUUAGAUAUUAGAAGGAAAAAGCAGGAAUGGAGGCAAGAAGGAGGUAAAGAAAGGAAGAUAUUAGAAGACAUAGAAAGGGACUUGAGCUUCCAGGUGCAAACAUUACCUGCAUAUCUCAGUUGUCCAUUAUCCUAGCCCUACUGGAAAAAUUCUAAAAGCUAUAUAUAAUCUAAGCCAAACCAGAAAAAGUAUUUAAAGCAUACAAGGAGGAUGCCACUCUAGAAUUUUCUUUUGAAAGUAACAUUCUGAAAAACAAAUAAAAAUACAGAUGAGGCCAGGUGUGGUGGCUCACGCUUGUAAUCCCAGAACUUUGGGAGGCUGAGGUGGGUGGAUCACCUGAGAUCAAGAGUUUGAGAUCAGCCUGGCCAAUGUGGUAAAACCCUAUCUCUACUAAAAAAACAAAAAUUAGUAGGGUGUGGUGGCACAUGCCUGUAAUCCUAGCUACUUGGGAGGCUGAGGCAUGAGAAUCACUUGAACCCAGGAGGCAGAUGUUGCAGUGAGCCAAGAUGGUGCCACAGCACUCCAGCCUGGGCAACAGAGACUGUGUCUCAAAAUAAAUAAAUAAAUAAAUAAAUAAAUAAAAAUAAAAAUACAGAUGAGAUUAACUAUUUGCUGAAAUAACCCACCCUGCGAAGUAGUUUACAAGUGGGUUGCUGAUGAUAACCGUGAGUCCAAAAUUUCAAGGAUUUUAAAUUAUCACUAAAAUAAACUAUUAAACAAUGCAAAGUAUCAUAACAAGGUAAUCCCAUAAUAAAAUCUAUAGUAGGUAUGGAUAAAUGAAAGCCUAAAACAGAGUAUUCUAGCCAGUGUGAAGGUGGAGAAGAAUACAUACAUUUUCAAGCAACCCGUUUAACAAAAUUGUUAUAAACACGGAGAGUCAGAGUGACCUGGAUUCGAGUUCCUGGCCAGCCAUUUAAUAAAUGGGAAAAGUUAUUAACUUCAUGAGCUUUAAUUUCCUUCACUGAAAAUAGUGAGUGUAUACCUCCCAGAGUUGUGAGGAUUUUUGUGUUUAUUUCUUGAACAAAUAUCUAUUGAAUGGCUUCUUUAUAUUGAGCAUUUUAAUAUAAUUAGCGUAUGAUCCGUGGUAUUGCUUAAUUAAUAUUACCCACCAUUAUUGGUUUUAUAACUGCAAGGUAUUACUUAUUAGGAUUAUUAUUCCUUUGCUCUUACAUAUUAGACAAUCUUCUUAUAAUAACUUAUAGGCUAUUAUAAGUUAUUAUAACUUAUAGUAGGUGAGUCAAGAUAGACUCAUCUACUAAAUGGGAAAUUGGUAGAGCAGCCUAUAUAAGUAUCUGAUUACAGAACAAUGGAUAAUUUCUCCGCUCACAUAAAACAUUGAUACUCUGGCUUAUCAGGUCUUCUUUGUGGUUUUGUUUCAUAUAAAUCAGUUCCUAGAAGUCUGAUUACCUUUCAGUAACCUAAUAAAAGCAUAUUCAUAAGUGUGCAAAGCAAAGCUUACAUACAAUUAUUGAACCAAAUAAGGCCAAAUCUCAGAAACCAGCCAGCUUCCAUUUAAUAAUUUUAUUUUAAUAUUUACAUUUUGUCACUUAGUAAAUUAUAUUUCUCUGAAUUUUAACCUUCUUGUGUACUUACUUCAAGGUUUGUUUUCAAGACCAAGAGCAUGUGAAAAAUUUUGUCGUCCUGUAUUCAUUUGGUUUCUCUGCUCAUUCUGCCCAGGUUCUCUUCUCAUCUGUUUAUAUCAUCCAGUUAUAUCUGUGAGUUUAAUAUUUAACUUACAGAUAUGGUUGAUCUGGAGAGCCAGCUGGAUGAUAUGAAUUGCCAUAUCUGUGAGUUCAAUAUUUAAGAAAAACAUCUAUGCUUUUCUAAAUUUCCUCAAAGGUCUUCCUAUAAGUGCUAAGAAUCCCUUGUUCUUUAUUGGAGUAAACCCAAUUCAUGUGUGCCAGUAGAUUACCUGACUUACUAUCUUACUGUUCAAUUUAUGUCACUGUAGCUAAGUCAGUACCUACUAAUUGGAAAGGUAUGAUCCAAGAACAUUUACUGGGAGUUGGGUGGCUCUGCUUUGUGAAUCCUUAUCUCAAAUAUUUUAGUUAAGGUUAUAAGACACUGAAGAUAAAGAACAUAUGCUCAUUAUGUGAGUGUAUAUACGUGUGUGUGUAUACACUAUAUAUUUGUAAAUACACAUUUACAAAUAAAUAUACUUCUACUGAGAAUGUGUGUAUCCAGAUAUAGGCACACAGAAAAAGAAUUACAUUUCUUUCAAUAAAUAUUUUGACAAAUAAUUUCAAUCAUCUAAGCUUUAAUAUUCCUUUUCUGAGAGCUUCAUUAAUGUACAUUCUAGUGAAUUUAGAAUUCUGUGCUUCAUGCCUUCAUUUUGCAGCACCUCACAGCAAGUACUUACUAUUCUUUAGAAUUCCAAAAGCUACUUGAAUUCAAAACAGGUCAAAUCAGCAAAGGAGGUUAAAAGAUUAGAAGAUCUGCAAAUGGUUUGGCUCUAAAGCAAGUUCAAACCAAAAAUGAGCUAAGAAGGCACUGGAAAUUGUAUAUCCUGGGGCUAUUUAAUAUGCCUUCUGCCAGAUGCAUGUCAAGGCAAUGAUACAAAAUGUGACUGAACUUACUAACAAAACAGGCCAAAAAUUGAUCUGAUUAAAUUUAAAAUAAAAAAAUGCUUCUUGGCCUAUUAAAUCUGCACUGCUUGGGAAAGAUAUAUUCAUUUGAUAAAUUUAAAUCAUAUAUAUUAUAUUGAUAUUUGUUUAAUAUUUAUGUCUAAUGAAUAUUUAUCAAAACAAACAGUGUUCUUUUUGUUCUAGGAACAAAAGACAAACCCCUUGACCUGACAGAGCUUACAUUUUAGUGGUGGAGGUUGAUAAUUAUAAUCAGAUAUAUUAUUAUAUUAGGUAAGAAUAAUUGCUGAUAAAAUACAGUAGGUUAUGGAGUAGAAAUGAAUGACAAAAGGCACUAUUUGUUUUUUCUUUUUUGAAUUAUUAUGGGUACAUAAUAAUUGUAUAUACUUAUGGGGUACAUGUGAUGUUUUGAUACAGGCAUAAAAUGUGUAAUGAUUCAAAUCAGGGUAAUUAGAGUAUCUGUCACCCAAGCAUUGAUCAUUUCUCUGUGUUAGUAACAAUCCAGUUCUAAUUUUAAAGUUAUUUUAAAUAGACAGUAGAUUAUUGUUAAUUAUAUCACCCUAUUGUGCUACAGAAUAUUAGAUCUUAUUCACUCUAUCGAGCUGUAUUUUUGUGCCCAUUAACCAUUUCCAAUGUAUCCUUACCUCCCCACUACCCUUCACAUCGUCUGGUAACCAUCAUUGUACUCC
rnacentral:lncRNA from 1 species